GAUGAACGCUGGCGGCGUGCUUAACACAUGCAAGUCGAACGGUGAAGCAGGAGCUUGCUCUUGUGGAUCAGUGGCGAACGGGUGAGUAACACGUGAGCAACCUGCCCCUGACUCUGGGAUAAGCGCUGGAAACGGCGUCUAAUACUGGAUAUGUGAUGUGACCGCAUGGUCUGCAUCUGGAAAGAAUUUCGGUUGGGGAGGGGCUCGCGGCCUAUCAGCUUGUUGGUGAGGUAAUGGCUCACCAAGGCGUCGACGGGUAGCCGGCCUGAGAGGGUGACCGGCCACACUGGGGCUGAGACACGGCCCAGACUCCUACGGGAGGCAGCAGUGGGGAAUAUUGCACAAUGGGCGGAAGCCUGAUGCAGCAACGCCGCGUGAGGGAUGACGGCCUUCGGGUUGUAAACCUCUUUUAGCAGGGAAGAAGCGAAAGUGACGGUACCUGCAGAAAAAGCACCGGCUAACUACGUGCCAGCAGCCGCGGUAA
rnacentral:rRNA from 1 species